AGGGUGAAGGAUCUCUAUGGUUAAUUCUUCAAAUCAUCAUCAUGAAGGAGAUGAGUACAAGUGUUUCCUUCCAAAAUUUAAGCAGCACAACCUCCAAAAAUCUUGACAUGUGCAGCUAAGAUUACCAAGAAAGGAGCCUCUCCCUGACUUCCACCCUCCAGCUCAACCCUCUCUCCCUAUGUUUAAAAGUGAGCCCUGCAAAUUAUCUAGCUGGUACUGCAUGAGACUUAGCCUUCAUACCACCUUCAAAGUUAAGGGAGACUACUUGGAUUUUUCCUAAUCAUAUUAAGAACAUAAGGUUCAAAAAGGGAGAAGUUGAAGGGAAAGUUGUGCCAGAAGAUGUCAGUUAUGGAGAACAUCUAGGAGAUGGGGUGAGAGAAGCAACAGGAAGAUGGCAGAAACGUCAGACAGACACACUGACAACAAGCCCAGGCAUGCGUGCACGUGUGAGAAUGUGUCUACAUACACAUACGGGAAUAGAGCUUCCCACUCAAAGAUACUGUUACUGAGGUUCCCCAUUUCAGUUUGUAGGUGUGUCCUCAUAUAAAUGUAGUCUUAGUAAUAAUGGCCACUGUUAUUUGAGACAGGGGGAUUUGUUUCUGUUUAGAACUCUGCCUUUUGAGACCUGAAGUCUAAUGUAGGAAACACCAUUCUUCUGAUUGUUUUUCGUCAGGCUAGCCAAAGCCAUUUCCCAGUAUUUACAUUUAGUUUAGAUUGCUUGACAUAACAACAUAACCUGCCUUCUGGUUGAUGCUUUCAUAGGUUUACUCUAGAUCAGUGCUUCUCAAAUUUUUAAAGUUGUUGGAAGUCUUGUCUUCAGGGCCAAAGGUUCUCCCUGGGAAUGUCAAUGCUGCCAGUCUGUGGACGACACUUUGAGCAGCCAGAAUCAGUUUCUUUUACUUUAAGUCACAACUCAAGAGAUGUUUUGUUAUCUUGUUAAUGUUAUUUUCAACUUCUUAUAGGUUUGGGAUGUGAGAAAGAUAAGCCUUGGCUGUACCUAGUCAUCUAAUGCUCAAAACAUUUCAUUAUUUUGCUCAAAACAUAGGCAGAGAAACUAAUUUUAAUCUGCACUGUGUUAUUUGCUGAGUGCCGCUGGUUCAGAACUGUAAUAUUUGUAGGACUCUUUAAGCCUCCCUUGGAUCUGUCCUCUACACCAAAGCAUAGGCUUCUUUCAAAGUACGCUGGUCUUUGUGCAUAGCCUUCUGGUUACCUUGUUAAUGAGACCAUAUUUGACCACUACUCAUUUUUUUAAGAGAAAUUCACCUUAAUUUAAUAUAACUUUGAAUUAAACUCUGUUUUCAUUUGGAAA